ACACAGGUAACUGGACAGCCUGAUGGUAGUAACUUUUGGUCUCUGUCAACCUGAGCUGUACUGAACCAGUUUCCUGAGCCUGUAGGCUACCUUAGUUAGGCUUCCAUUAAUUAAGCAAAAUACUGGUGAGAGUUUAACAGAAAGCAUAUGAACAACUGAUAUAUUCAAGUCUCAGAACCAUAAGAGAUUCCUAGUGGUUUGGAUUUCCAUUUAGAGAAUGUGUCAACCUCGUUUCAAACACUUGGAUUUAAUCUGAUCAAGGAGGAGAGAAAACAUUCAAAGCGAGAUCCAAUCUUAAAGAGCCAGAGUCCCCACAGGAGGGAAGCCAGGUGCAAUUAGUACUCUUGCAGAGUCCUGGUUGCUUGAAAAUGAGCUCUUUGCAUACGGAGAAGGUGAAAGAGGAAUGGGAGUUCUCUUGAAGAUGGGAGGCAUGGUCAUCUCGCCUAGGAGACAUGGCUUUAGAACGCAGCACUACCACUGACUCACUGUGUAAUCUUGGGCAAGUUUCUUUAUUGCUCUGUUCUUCAUGUUACCCAUUCCUGGAACCAGCCAGGAAAUAACCACAGACACAGGGUGAACUUGAGCAGUACUGAGGGUUAACUUAUUGCUUCCCUUAUUUGCGCAGUUAUACUCACACACACAACUCAUUCAUGCUGGCAGACUGAAGGCACGGAUGUUGAUUUCAGUGACUGAGGCUGGCCAGGCCACAACUGCCCAGAGAUCGAACCGCUAGGCAACGAGAGUCCCCAGAGUCCCUUCCGGUCUGCAGGAGGGCUUCCGGUCCGGUCCCGAGUUAACAUACUGUUACAUUUCCUUGUUGGUAACCUAACCUGGCUGCUCAUCUCGAAAUUUAUACCUUCACCACGAUAAUACCAUGGUACCAUAAAAGCUAUAGUAAAAGUUAACAUCCACUAUUGCAGAAGUUUACAAUACAAUGGAAUUACAGCUUUCAACACAC